rnacentral:rRNA from 1 species
UGCCAGCAGCCGCGGUAAUACGGAGGGUGCGAGCGUUAAUCGGAAUUACUGGGCGUAAAGCGCGCGUAGGCUGUCAGUUAAGCGGGAUGUGAAAGCCCUGGGCUCAACCUAGGAACUGCAUCCCGAACUGGCUGACUAGAGUGCAGUAGAGGGUGGUGGAAUUUCCAGUGUAGCGGUGAAAUGCGUAGAGAUUGGAAGGAACACCAGUGGCGAAGGCGACCACCUGGACUGACACUGACGCUGAGGUGCGAAAGCGUGGGGAGCAAACAGGAUUAGAUA